rnacentral:rRNA from 1 species
AUUGAACGCUGGCGGCAGGCUUAACACAUGCAAGUCGAGCGGAGCGAGGGUGCUUGCACCUUAGCUUAGCGGCGGACGGGUGAGUAAUGCUUAGGAAUCUGCCUAUUAGUGGGGGACAACAUUCCGAAAGGAAUGCUAAUACCGCAUACGCCCUACGGGGGAAAGCAGGGGAUCUUCGGACCUUGCGCUAAUAGAUGAGCCUAAGUCGGAUUAGCUAGGUGGUGGGGUAAAGGCCUACCAAGGCGACGAUCUGUAGCGGGUCUGAGAGGAUGAGCCGCCACGCUGGGACUGAGACACGGCCCAGACUCCUACGGGAGGCAGCAGUGGGGAAUAUUGGACAAUGGGCGGAAGCCUGAUCCAGCCAUGCCGCGUGUGUGAAGAAGGCCUUUUGGUUGUAAAGCACUUUAAGCGAGGAGGAGGCUACUUAGGUUAAUACUCUGGGAUAGUGGACGUUACUCGCAGAAUAAGCACCGGCUAACUCUGUGCCAGCCGCCGCAGUAAAAC